UGUACCUUCUGCUGGAGACCUACGUAAGGACAUUGGAAGAAGGAACAUUCACUCUUCUUCGCCUGCUUGCAUUUACUUGCCAGCAUCUCUGUUGGAACCUACUUCUCCAGAAGACCAGCUGAAACAACUAGCCUCGGGGACUGAGCAACUACUAGAUUCUUGGACUUCCCAUUACGGCUGCCCAUUGUUGGGUUAGUUGAACUGCAAACUUGACCCUGGACUUAAAAGGUUGUCAUCCAUUCUACAACAGAGUAUUAGUGAUAUUUGAAGAGCAUAACUCUGACACUUGACAUUAAAUAUGAGAAGUAUUGAGGCCGAACACAAAGGAACAGGAAGCCAACUCCAAGAUGGCAUCGGUUUCCCUGUAGGCCGUCAGCAUAAACAACACCACUGCGCAGGCGCUAACCCGAGUUUGGCGCCAACCCCUCUGGAGCGGGUGCAUGCUAAUUAGGUGCCGACAGGCUGACCAAUCUCAGGAGGACACGAGGCCUUUCCCAGUGCUGGGAUGCAUAUAAGCAGACCUCCCCUGGGUUCCCGGGGUCCCUGUCGCAGCAUCGAGGUGUUCCUGCAAUAAAGGCUGUUGAGAAGAAUCCGACCAUGUUGUGUCUUCCUUGCCGGCCAAGGUGGG
rnacentral:lncRNA from 1 species